GCAACCCUUACUCAUUAGUUGCUAACAUUCAGUUGAGAACUCUAAUGAGACUGCCAGUGAUAAACUGGAGGAAGGUGGGGAUGACGUCAAAUCAUCAUGCCCCUUAUGACCUGGGCUACACACGUGCUACAAUGGCCGGUACAAAGAGUUGCGAAACUGUGAAGUUAAGCUAAUCUCAUAAAGCCGGUCUCAGUUCGGAUUGUAGUCUGCAACUCGACUACAUGAAGUCGGAAUCGCUAGUAAUCGCGAAUCAGAAUGUCGCGGUGAAUACGUUCUCGAGUCUU
rnacentral:rRNA from 1 species